rnacentral:misc_RNA from 1 species
GAUGAAGAACGUAGUGAAAUGCGAUACUUGGUGUGAAUUGCAGAAUCCCGUGAACCAUCGAGUCUUUGAACGCAAGUUGCGCCCGAAGCCAUCAGGUUGAGGGCACGUCUGCCUGGGCGUCAUAUAUCGUUGCCCAAUGCCUAUUGCAGUGCAAUAGGAAUUUCUAGGGCGAAUGAUGGCUUCCCGUGAGCGUUGUUGCCUCGCGGUUGGUUGAAAAUCGAGUCCUUGGUAGGGUGUGCCAUGGUAGAUGGUGGUCGAGUUAGAACGAUACCGAUCAUGUGCAUGCUCCCCAAAAUAUGGCCUCUAUGACCCACACGCGUCUUUUGACGCUCAUGACGAGACCUCAGGUCAGGCGGGGCUACCCGCUGAAUUUAAGCAUAUCAAUAAGCGGAGGA